rnacentral:tRNA from 1 species
CAUUAAGAAGCUAUGAGACAGCGUUAGCCUUUUAAGCUAAAGAAAGAGGACCACACCCCCUCCUUAAUGA